rnacentral:rRNA from 1 species
CCUACGGGCGGCAGCAGUGGGGAAUAUUGCACAAUGGGCGGAACCCUGAUGCAGCAACGCCGCGUGGGUGAAGAAGUACUUCGGUAUGUAAAGCCCUGUCAGCAGGGAAGAAACUGACGGUACCUGACCAAGAUGCCCCGGCUAACUACGUGCCAGCAGCCGCGGUAAUACGUAGGGGGCAAGCGUUAUCCGGAUUUACUGGGUGUAAAGGGAGCGUAGACGGCAAGGCAAGUCUGGAGUGAAAGCCCGUGGCUCAACCACGGGAUUGCUUUGGAAACUGGGUUGCUGGAGUGCAGGAGGGGUAAGCGGAAUGCGUGGUGUAGCGGGGAAAUGCGUAGAUAUGAGGAGGAACACCGGUGGCGAAGGCGGCUUACUGUACUGUAACUGACGUUGAGGCUCGAAGGCGUGGGGAGCAAACAGGAUUAGAUACCCUUGUAGUC